GGGGUGGUGGCGCAGUUGGCAAGCGCGUAGGUCUCAUACCCCAUUUGUAUGAAUUGUGAGUAAUCCUGAGGUCGAGAGUUCGAGCCUCUCUCACCCCA
rnacentral:tRNA from 1 species